CUAGCAAUAGAGAGUGGCGCACGGGUGAGUAACAUGUGGGAAUAUGCCUCUUGGUACGGAACAACUUUUGGAAACGAAAGCUAAUACCGUAUGGUCCCUUCGGGGUAAAGAUUUAUCGCCAAGAGAGUAGCCCGCACUAGAUUAGCUAGUUGGUAAGGUAAUGGCUUACCAAGGCGACGAUCUAUAGCUGGUCUGAGAGGACGAUCAGCCACACUGGGACUGAGACACGGCCCAGACUCCUACGGGAGGCAGCAGUGGGGAAUAUUGGACAAUGGGCGAAAGUCUGAUGGAGCAACGCCGCGUGAGCGAAGAAGGUUUUCGGA
rnacentral:rRNA from 1 species